rnacentral:rRNA from 1 species
CCUACGGGAGGCAGCAGUGGGGAAUAUUGCACAAUGGGGGAAACCCUGAUGCAGCGACGCCGCGUGAGUGAUGAAGCACUUCGUUAUGUAAAGCUCUAUCAGCAGGGAAGAAAAUGACGGUACGUGAGUAAGAAGCCCCGGCUAACUACGUGCAAGCAGCCGCGGUAAUACGUAGGGGGCAAGCGUUAUCCGGAUUUACUGGGUGUAAAGGGAGCGUAGACGGCAGUGCAAGUCUGGAGUGAAAGGCGGCGGCUCAACCCCCAGACUGCACUGGAUACUGUACGGCUGGAGUGCAGGAGAGGUAAGUGGAAUUCCUAGUGUAGCGGUGAAAUGCGUAGAUAUUAGGAGGAACACCGAUGGCGAAGGCAGCUUACUAGACUGCAACUGACGUUGAGGCUCGAAAGCGUGGGUAGCAAACAGGAUUAGAUACCCCAGUAGUC